UUGACACGUACAACCCUCAAAAUGAACGCUCAGUGCAUACGCUGCUUCUUCCUUCAGAUUUUCACAAUUGCUCAAAGCCUCUUCCAGUUUCGCUUGGAAAAUGGGGAAUUUCCCUUUUUUUUUUUUUUGGUUUCCCCUAGAAUUUCUGUAAAUUAACAUAGGCAUCCGAUCUCAGACCUUAUUGUCCAACGAUUUCACUUUUGUCUCUGGAUCUAAACUCUAUAUAUCCGAUCUCAGAUCUUAUUGUCCAACGAUUUCACUUUUCUCUCUGGAUCUAAACUCUAUAUACUCUGACAAGAUAGUUCCGUCACAAAUCUCAAGGUUUUACUUUUCACUUAUCAAGGUCUUACUAAUGAAAAAAAAGAAGACCGAGUCUAAUGGCAGAGAUGGGAAGAAGAAAAAAGCAGGAAGAUUUAGGGUGUGUUUGGUACCAAGGAAAAUGUUUUCCAUAGAGAGGAGCUUGGGGUAGUAAGGGUAUUUUGGGAAUAGCAAAAGGCUUGCUUGCCCCAUCCGGAGUACUUCUGGUAUUUCAACAUAUUUUCAUGCUUCAGUUAUGAUGUGCCAAGUACAAUACUGUGAGUACCUUUUUACUUAUGGGCCCCACCUGAACAUUAUUUCAUAUGUACACAAAAGUGGGCUCCACUAGCUGCCUUUUGAUCCAGUUAAUUUUACCAUUUCAUAACUAACUCUCUGCAUAUAAAAGUAAACUAUGCUGCCUUAUUUAAUACUUUAUAUUAGAAUUUUAUUUUUAAUGUAAUUAGAGUGAACUAAUAUAUUAUCUAGAGCUCUAACAAAGAGAAAUUAGAAAAUACCCAGCUCAAACAGGCAAUAAUUGAGAGAAGCACAAGCGCCUCGCCUGCAGGAUUUUGAAACUUUUGUUCCGUGCCUAUAAACAUGAUUUGAAAUUAAUAGUAUACUAAAAAGAGAAAUUAAAUUUAUCCUAUUUCUCCAAUUAUUUUCUUAAGAAGUCCAACAAGAAAUCCAUGCCACGUUGAGCUAUUGCUAUUAUUUUGAAAUUACACUCUCAAAAAAUUAUAAAGUAAAUGUUAGUACUACGUUAAUUAUAAUUAAACAAAUAAAAAAGAUGAUAUUAUUGAGAUUAGAGUAGCUGCGAUAGAGGGGCGACUCAAGCACGUUAGUAGUCUAAAGUCAAAAUUUAUUUGGAGGCCUUACAUUUAAAAAAUGAAAAAUAAUUUUCCCCCAAAAAAUCUAUUGUUUUAACUUUUGAAAAUAAUAAUUUUUUUAAAUUAUCGAAAUCUUCUAAUAUUUGUUUUUCAAAUGAUAAUAUAGCCAACUCUUUUAAUUUUUCUUGAGAAUUAUUGAUAUUGGAUAAGAUACUAUCAAUUUUAAUUUGGAAAAAAAACUUCUUUCUAUUGAGGCAACUAUUACAUUAAGUGUUAGCAUUAUUUUAUAAGAAAUAUAAGUAUUUAAAAUAGAAUUAUGUCCUUUCAUUUAAAUGAAUAUGUCGAUUAGAGUAUUAUUUUCUACUUGUUCUAUUUUCUUAAACACUUUUAGUUUAGAAUAAGUCUAAACCAACAGUAUCAGAGUGAACUAUAUUUUAAGGAACAUUCAAGGUUAAGAUAGUAUUUUUUUAAAUUCUUGUCAUCUAACCUCUCAUAUUUUACCACUAAAAUUUUUGAACUGUUGAACUAUUAACUUAUCCUUCUAAAAUUCUACUUAUAUAUAAAUACAUUAUUACGAAUGUGGGAAAAUGCACACAGGAGGUCAACAUGCCUGCUUGGCAGUUGGUGUGUUUUGGUAAAUUCAUUUAAAAUGGAGCAAUGUGAUUGGCCAAAAAGGUAUCUUAAUGUAGCUACCAUAUAAAUUCUGAGACUUGACGAAAUUGUCCCUUGCUUAUCUCAUCGGUGAUGUAUUCAAAAGCUUUCAUGGAGAUGUGGGUCCCAUCUGAGUUUUGUUUUACAUGUUGCUAUCAUUCUGCAUAUUAGCUAUUUGUAUUGUACCACUCAUUGAAGAAAUGGGGCCCAUUUAAAGUUCUAAAUUCUAAUGCUGCUUUAAUUA